CCGCUGAAAGCAUCUAAGUGGGAAACUCGCCCUAAGAUUAGAUCCCUGUAUUCCCGUAAGGGAGUAAGACCCCAGGUAGACUACCUGGUAUAUAGGCAGUGUGUGUAAGCACAGUAAUGUGUUCAGCUAAACUGUACUAAUGGUCGAGGGCUUCCUC
rnacentral:rRNA from 1 species